AGGAUCGCAAGACCUUGCGCUCUUUGAGCGGCCGAUGUCUGAUUAGCUAGUUGGUGAGGUAAAGGCUUACCAAGGCGACGAUCAGUAGCUGGUCUGAGAGGACGACCAGCCACACUGGGACUGAGACACGGCCCAGACUCCUACGGGAGGCAGCAGUGGGGAAUUUUGGACAAUGGGGGAAACCCUGAUCCAGCCAUGCCGCGUGAGUGAAGAAGGCCUUCGGGUUGUAAAGCUCUUUCAGCCGGAACGAAACGGUCACGGCUAAUACCUGUGAUCACUGACGGUACCGGAAGAAGAAGCACCGGCUAACUACGUGCCAGCAGCCGCGGUAAUACGUAGGGUGCAAGCGUUAAUCGGAAUUACUGGGCGUAAAGCGUGCGCAGGCGGUUGUGUAAGUCUACA
rnacentral:rRNA from 1 species